GGGGCUGAUUCUGGAUUCGACGGGAUUUGCGAAACCCAAGGUGCAUGCCGAGGGGCGGUUGGCCUCGUAAAAAGCCGCAAAAAAUAGUCGCAAACGACGAAAACUACGCUUUAGCAGCUUAAUAACCUGCUCUGAGCCCUCUCUCCCUAGCUUCCGCUCUUAAGACGGGGAUCAAAGCGGGUUCAACUCCCGCCAGCUCCACCA
rnacentral:tmRNA from 1 species